rnacentral:rRNA from 1 species
AUUGAACGCUGGCGGCAUGCCUUACACAUGCAAGUCGAACGGCAGCGCGGGAGCAAUCCUGGCGGCGAGUGGCGAGCGGGUGAGUAAUAUAUCGGAACGUGCCCUAGCGUGGGGGAUAAGUAGUCGAAAGAUUAGCUAAUACCGCAUACGAUCUACGGAUGAAAGUGGGGGAGCGCAAGACCGCAUGCCCGUGGAGCGUCCGAUGUCUGAUUAGCUAGUUGGUAGGGUAAAAGCCUACCAAGGCCACGAUCAGUAGCUGGUCUGAGAGGACGACCAGCCACACUGGGACUGAGACACGGCCCAGACUCCUACGGGAGGCAGCAGUGGGGAAUUUUGGACAAUGGGGGAAACCCUGAUCCAGCAAUGCCACGUGUGUGAAGAAGGCCUUCGGGUUGUAAAGCACUUUUGUCCGGAACGAAACGGAUCGAGCUAAUACCUUGGCCUAAUGACGGUACCGGAAGAAUAAGCACCGGCUAACUACGUGCCAGCAGCCGCCGUAA